UACGUAGGGUGCAAGCGUUGUCCGGAAUUAUUGGGCGUAAAGAGCUCGUAGGCGGUCUGUCGCGUCGGCUGUGAAAACCCGGGGCUCAACCCCGGGCCUGCAGUCGAUACGGGCAGACUAGAGUGCGGUAGGGGAGACUGGAAUUCCUGGUGUAGCGGUGAAAUGCGCAGAUAUCAGGAGGAACACCGAUGGCGAAGGCAGGUCUCUGGGCCACUACUGACGUGAGAAGCGAAAGCAUGGGGAGCGAACAGG
rnacentral:rRNA from 1 species